UUCAUUGACAAGUUACCCAGCACCGUG
rnacentral:misc_RNA from 1 species